rnacentral:rRNA from 1 species
CCUACGGGGGGCAGCAGUGAGGAAUAUUGGUCAAUGGACGAGAGUCUGAACCAGCCAAGUAGCGUGAAGGAUGACUGCCCUAUGGGUUGUAAACUUCUUUUAUAUGGGAAUAAAAUGUUCCACGUGUGGGAUUUUGUAUGUACCAUAUGAAUAAGGAUCGGCUAACUCGGUGCCAGCAGCCGCGGUAAUACGGAGGAUCCGAGCGUUAUCCGGAUUUAUUGGGUUUAAAGGGAGCGUAGGUGGAUUGUUAAGUCAGUUGUGAAAGUUUGCGGCUCAACCGUAAAAUUGCAGUUGAAACUGGCAGUCUUGAGUACAGUAGAGGUGGGCGGAAUUCGUGGUGUAGCGGUGAAAUGCUUAGAUAUCACGAAGAACUCCGAUUGCGAAGGCAGUUCACUGGACUGCAACUGACACUGAGGCUCGAAAGUGUGGGUAUCAAACAGGAUUAGAUACCCCUGUAGUC